rnacentral:lncRNA from 1 species
CAGAAUCUUUUCCACUGCCAUGACCCUGGUAUUCAAGAAGGAUCCAUUUCUUCCCUACCCUCACGCCAAAUUUGCCUCCAAUGACGGGCCUUUGGACCUCGGCCCUGGAGUAGAGGGGAGCUCCUGAGA